rnacentral:rRNA from 1 species
ACGGGAGGCAGCAGUGAGGAAUAUUGGUCAAUGGAGGCAACUCUGAACCAGCCAUCUCGCGUGAAGGAAUACGGCCCUACGGGUCUUAAACUUCUUUUAUAGGGGGAUAAAGUGAGAUAUGUAUAUCUUUUUGUAGGUACCCUAUGAAUAAGCAUCGGCUAACUCCGUGCCAGCAGCCGCGGUAAUACGGAGGAUGCGAGCGUUAUCCGGAUUUAUUGGGUUUAAAGGGUGCGCAGGCGGCGCGUUAAGUCAGCGGUGAAAGGCGACGGCUCAACCGGAGCAGUGCCGUUGAUACUGACGCGCUUGAAUGCGGUCGAGGCCGGCGGAAUGUGGCGUGUAGCGGUGAAAUGCAUAGAUAUGCCACAGAACCCCGAUAGCGAAGGCAGCUGGCCGGGCCUGCAUUGACGCUGAGGCACGAAAGCGUGGGGAUCGAACAGGAUUAGAUACCCUGGUA